rnacentral:rRNA from 1 species
GAGUUUGAUCAUGGCUCAGAACGAACGCUGGCGGCAUGCCUAACACAUGCAAGUCGAACGAGACCUUCGGGUCUAGUGGCGCACGGGUGCGUAACGCGUGGGAAUCUGCCCUUGGGUUCGGAAUAACAGUUAGAAAUGACUGCUAAUACCGAAUGAUGUCUUCGGACCAAAGAUUUAUCGCCCAGGGAUGAGCCCGCGUCGGAUUAGCUAGUUGGUGAGGUAAAGGCUCACCAAGGCGACGAUCCGUAGCUGGUCUGAGAGGAUGAUCAGCCACACUGGGACUGAGACACGGCCCAGACUCCUACGGGAGGCAGCAGUGGGGAAUAUUGGACAAUGGGCGAAAGCCUGAUCCAGCAAUGCCGCGUGAGUGAUGAAGGCCUUAGGGUUGUAAAGCUCUUUUACCCGGGAUGAUAAUGACAGUGCCGGGAGAAUAAGCCCCGGCUAACUCCGUGCCAGCAGCCCGCCGUAAU